rnacentral:rRNA from 1 species
UUAACACAUGCAAGUCGAACGAUGAACCGGUUAUCGGCCGGGGAUUAGUGGCGAACGGGUGAGUAACACGUGGGCAAUCUGCCCUGCACUCUGGGACAAGCCCUGGAAACGGGGUCUAAUACCGGAUACGACGCGUUCCCGCAUGGGAUACGCGUGGAAAGCUCCGGCGGUGCAGGAUGAGCCCGCGGCCUAUCAGCUUGUUGGUGGGGUGAUGGCCUACCAAGGCGACGACGGGUAGCCGGCCUGAGAGGGCGACCGGCCACACUGGGACUGAGACACGGCCCAGACUCCUACGGGAGGCAGCAGUGGGGAAUAUUGCACAAUGGGCGCAAGCCUGAUGCAGCGACGCCGCGUGAGGGAUGACGGCCUUCGGGUUGUAAACCUCUUUCAGCAGGGAAGAAGCGAAAGUGACGGUACCUGCAGAAGAAGCGCCGGCUAACUACGUGCCAGCAGCCGCGGUAAUACGUAGGGCGCAAGCGUUGUCCGGAAUUAUUGGGCGUAAAGAGCUCGUAGGCGGCUUGUCGCGUCGGAUGUGAAAGCCCGGGGCUUAACCCCGGGUCUGCAUUCGAUACGGGCAGGCUAGAGUUCGGUAGGGGAGAUCGGAAUUCCUGGUGUAGCGGUGAAAUGCGCAGAUAUCAGGAGGAACACCGGUGGCGAAGGCGGAUCUCUGGGCCGAUACUGACGCUGAGGAGCGAAA